rnacentral:rRNA from 1 species
GACGAACGCUGGCGGCGUGCUUAACACAUGCAAGUCGAACGGAAAGGCCCUGCUUUUGUGGGGUGCUCGAGUGGCGGACGGGUGAGUAACACGUGAGUAACCUGCCCUUGACUUUGAGAUAACUUCAGGAAACUGGGGCUAAUACCGGAUAGGAGCUCCUGCUGCAUGGUGGGGGUUGGAAAGUUUCGGCGGUUGGGGAUGGACUCGCGGCUUAUCAGCUUGUUGGUGGGGUAGUGGCUUACCAAGGCUUUGACGGGUAGCCGGCCUGAGAGGGUGACCGGCCACAUUGGGACUGAGAUACGGCCCAGACUCCUACGGGAGGCAGCAGUGGGGAAUAUUGCACAAUGGGCGGAAGCCUGAUGCAGCAACGCCGCGUGCGGGAUGACGGCCUUCGGGUUGUAAACCGCUUUCGCCUGUGACGAAGCGUGAGUGACGGUAAUGGGUAAAGAAGCACCGGCUAACUACGUG